rnacentral:lncRNA from 1 species
UGUUUUUGACAAUACAAUGCACAUAUAUCCGGUACUAGCACCAUUAAGUCAUGCUAAAUUACUGAAAUCCUCAUAAUUCUAGCAUUUUAGUUAAAUUUUGGACGGUUUUCGUGUAAAACGAAAGUGGCCGCAUUCGUGUUCAUCCCUAAUAUUGAAAUGUAAGUUGUAUUUUAUGAUAAUACAUAACAUAUAUAAAGGUUGAGGAUGAACACGGAUGCGGCCACU